rnacentral:rRNA from 10 species
UGGCAUCUACUUUGCCAACGUUCGCUGCAAAAGCGAUACAUGAUGUGAGAUGCAGAAUAACA